rnacentral:rRNA from 1 species
GAUGAACGCUGGCGGCGUGCUUAACACAUGCAAGUCGAACGGAAAGGCCCAAGCUUGCUUGGGUACUCGAGUGGCGAACGGGUGAGUAACACGUGGGUGAUCUGCCCUGCACUUCGGGAUAAGCCUGGGAAACUGGGUCUAAUACCGGAUAGGACCACAUUUUGGAUGGUGUGGUGGAAAGUUUUUCGGUGUGGGAUGAGCUCGCGGCCUACCAGCUUGUUGGUGGGGUAAUGGCCUACCAAGGCGUCGACGGGUAGCCGGCCUGAGAGGGUGUACGGCCACAUUGGGACUGAGAUACGGCCCAGACUCCUACGGGAGGCAGCAGUGGGGAAUAUUGCACAAUGGGCGCAAGCCUGAUGCAGCGACGCCGCGUGGGGGAUGACGGCCUUCGGGUUGUAAACUCCUUUCGCUAGGGACGAAGCGUUUUUGUGACGGUACCUGGAGAAGAAGCACCGGCUAACUACGUG